AAAAGUUUUUUGCUGGAGAUCUCUGUGUAUCUGAGGUCAUCCAAAGAUAAAAAAAAGAAUAACAGUUUCAGUGGUGCUUGGAAUUAUUCCCGUUGGAUUGUGAACUUGGCAACGCAGAAUCUGAACCUGCUUUCCUCCUAAUUCCCUGAUGCGUAUAACUGCCAGCCCAGAGCCACACGCACACGUUGCAGGAGCCAUGUGAAGAAGGGCAGAAGGAUACAAAGCAGAAGGCUGAGAGGUUGGAGCAAAAGGCUGGAGGUGGUGAGGUGUGAGCAAGUGCUUCUCAAGGCAAUUCCUCCUUCCUCUUUGAUGCUAAUGAAAGAAGUGGAAUAAGAAAGCCUGACUCUUCCAGUGUCUCCAAAUAUAAAGACUUCCCACCAGGCACGUUGUAGGCAGUUUCAGUGCCUGAUGUAACACCUGCAUUCACAGCAAUUUCCAGCCGCCUGGUGAACUGAGGGUAGAAGGACACAGGGUGGAGGGUCUUGGUCAACAGAUCAACUCCUUGACUCUUCCCAUGGCUGACUUGCAUGACUGAAAGUUCUUAUUUUUCACCAUUAAGAGAAAUAAAAGUUAAAGCUCCUUCAUGAAUUUUGAUCUCCAGAGAUUCUCCUAUUGAUGAUCAAGCACUCAGGGAAGAGAGAAUUUCUGGAGUGGGCUGAUUAAUUUGUGAUUUAAUUUCAUUUUUCCUUGCUCUUCCAAGUGUUAAUUACAGUUAAUAACAGUAGUGGAAAAAAUAUUUGGGAACAAAGAGCUUGUAAUUUUUAUCUUGUUGCUACUCAAUAACUGCUGUAGGUAUAAAUCAAUAUAUUUAAGAAAAAAAAAUGCUAGUAAUUAAUGAGACAGCACUUUUUAUGCACAGAGAAAGUAGCUUUUCUCCCACGUAUCUAAUACCAACUGCAAAUUUAUGCAUAGCUUUGGAGGUCUGAUUCCCUAAUUCUUAAUUUUGAAGUGUUGGAAAAAAUGGGUGAGGGCUUGUAAACAAGAUAUAUUUGGUCAUUCUUCCAAUGUACUUUGAUCUAUGUAAUAAAGGUCAGCAUUCAGUGCUUCAUUCUACAUUCUCCCAAAUAUCUAAUUGCCUAAUUAUUGCAUUAUUUCACAGCCAAUCAGUUGAAAGGGUUUGUAUGGGAGCAUGGCAGAAAAAGAGGGCUGUCAGUCUUUGGUUAUGGUCCUAUAGUUCUAAUUCAAGAAUUAAAUAUCUGUCUUUUCUAAAAGUCAUUACAUGAUUUAUUGGAAAAUUGGUAGAAACAGCCCUGGG